rfam:Felis catus isolate Cinnamon breed Abyssinian chromosome B3, whole genome shotgun sequence.
ACCUGGGUGGCUCAGUCGGUUAAGUAUCUGACUCUUGAUUUCAGCUCAGGUCACGAUCUCAGGGUUUGUGGGUUCGAGCCCCACAUCAGGUU